GUCAAAGUGUCUGGACUGGUUCUACAUUCCCGAUCGAACAUAGUCAGAGUAUGUUGGGUUAGGGAUAACCAUUCUCAUUCGGCUGUUUUUGCUGCACACUCUAGCAAACCGUAGAUCAGCAUGAGCUCCACAAGCUGUAAUUGAACUAGAAUGAGCUUGAAAACAUGUAGAAAAUCAGCAGUUUGGUGGCCCUGGGCCACUCCCUUCAUAUAGACGCAAUAGACUCCCAUUCAUUUUUCGGCCUAGUCAAAGUCUGUCAAUGAAUGUCCCUAACCUCAGUUGCCACUUACCUCAACCAGAUUUUAUUCCAUUUUUAUAUGUUUUUUAGCUCAUUUUUUAAAAUAAAUAAAUCAUAGCUCCUUUCCUGGGAAGAUGGCUGAGUGGUGACAUCUUGCUAUGGCUGCUUUUGCUCAUCCUCUUGGGUGGCACUGGGGCAUGGGAAGCUGUAAUAAGCAGGUGAAGAUCUGCUUGUGUGCAAUUCCCUUUGGUUCCAGCCCUGGUUAGGGGAGGACGAUUUUGGUCUGUUGGACAUUCCUUCAAAACGUCAGCAGAGUUCACCAGUAAGUAUCUCUUUAAUGCAUUAAUGUAUGUGUUCAUGUUGAAGUUAUAACAUUUUUUCUGAGCAGGUGGCCAUAACAGCUCUUCAAUGAAGGGAAGGCUGUCACCACACUAAAACUUUAUCUUGUGAACGUGUCUGAGUUCCUGGGUUACUUUCGGGACAUGCCUCCAUCCACAUCGCGUGUCUCAAAAAGUCCAUGGUAGCCAUCCUGAGAGCCAUCUCCUCUGAUGUAUCCAAACUGGGAAAGCGUGUCGUCCUCCGACAAAUAAAUGUCAAAAAGGGGAAAGUAAACAAGGCAAUUCCCAUGAAUGACCUCCAUGCCUGUCAGAGGAUUGCGCGCGACAGGAUCCCUAAACUUCUUGACAAACUUGAGAAAAAACCCACACCAUUGAACCUGUGCAUAUUCUAUGGUUACUUCAGUGUGUACCUUGCAAGCAUCUAUGGGCACAGAACUGGUGUUUUGACAAAUAUGACGAUAUCAGAAGCAGACAAGUCACGGAUGGAUGCCAAGUGUGGCGACAAGGGAUUCGUCAUAAACGUCAAGGAGCACAAGACAAAUAGGGCUUUCGGAAGAAGCUGCAGCCAUCCACUGACCCUGUUUUCUACAAUGAAAACCAACAAAAAGUCAACAAUCUACAGCAGCACCUUCAGAGUGCAUGGGCCGAGAUGGGGUUCUCUGGGUCCCCAACCUUCUGUCAUGAUUUCAGCCCUUCAGCUCUACCUUGACUGUGCUGAUUACUCAUUACCCUCACCUGCUCUGUGCUGCUCCCUAUUUAAACAGCUGCUCGUCACCAGCUCAGUGCGAGAUCGUCUGUUGCCACUCUCACAGCUUUCAAGCCUUGUCUCAUGUUCCAAAGAGUUUUCUGGUUUUCUGAUCCUGCCUGUUUUUUGACCACAGAUCUUUUCCUAAUCCUUCUGCUGGUGGAAGUCCUGUUUCUGACCCUGCCUCCUGCCUUCCGGUUACUGGAUUUUCACUGCCUGAGACCCUCUCGUGCAUGACCCUGGACUGUUUCACGACUCAGCCUCUGGUUGGUGGAUUUUGUCCCUGUCUUCUGUUUGUCCCCUGAGCCCCCCCCUCCCCUGACCUCCCAUUGUCCACUCACCCAACCCUCCCCCGGCUGGACUCCUGAACCCUGUUUAUCUCCGAAUCCUGACCCACCAGUGUGACCACACCCUUCUACAUCAUUAUUUUUGUAAUAAAACUUUUGGUGAAUCGUCCUCUUGUUUUGGCUGCGUUUUGGGUUCUGGCUGAUUUUGCUCUUAACGUUACGCCUUCACAGAUUUCAGAACCUCCAUUGCCACAUAUGUAAGUAAUUAUAUCACUUUUUCAUUGUGAAAACUUAAAAUGAAAUAUUGAACAACUUCCUUUAUUUUUCAAUUGAAGAAAUGUAGUAUCACCAAACACCCGUACAAAGAUAAGCAAGACCAUGUUGCCACGACACGGCAACACCUGAAAAAUUUUACACCAUGCAUCAGACCACGGCACAACUGACCCAUUUCACUGAUCUUUGUGGCUGUAUUGGAAAAUGUAUCUAGACCUUGUGUUUGUAAGCACCAAAUACUCAGUUCCAUUGUUUCUCAUACUGGUGUUCUAGUCAGAUCAUCUUUAUAAAUUCAAGAACAGUUUAUGGAAAAUCUACCAAGAUUACGUUUACAUGAAGUUUUCUUCAUUACAUUUUGCACUAAAAAAAAGAAGGCAUGCCUUUUUACACUGCUGCAGAAUUCACUGGUACCACACAAGUCUAAAAUGCACAGCACAGUACUUCCUGGACCUUGAAGUAUCUACUGCAUUGCUGAUAUUUAGUAAGAGACAAAUUAGCUAGAUAUUUCCAAAAUUACCUUUAUAUUUUCUGUUUUAAAACUAACUUGGGGCCUUAAUUUUUAAUAGAUCCAAACUUGUUAGCACACAUACCUGAUUUACAGGUACAACUAAGAUUGUGUCAGCAAAAUUACUAUUUAGCAUGCAUGCCUUCAUGAGUGUGCAGAACAUAUUCAGAGCAUCAUAAUGUGCAAACGAUUGGGCAGAGGUUUUGAAAAAUCUAUUGAGUUACCUCCCACAAAGUGAUUUAUUGAAACAAAAGCAGAUUGGGGAUUUGUUCUAGUGUCUAUAUUUAGCAUGUUUGAAAGGGAGGUGCAACUGACAUGUCUGUGGUCAGUGUUGCAAGAGACAGACUUGGGGAAAUGAUAUUUCUUGAAGACUGUGCUCCCACAUUGUACACUGAGUUUGACUCUUAGACUAAGCCUCCACUCUGAUAUUGUUGUGAAAACUAGCAUAAAUUGGUGAGAUCUUUCAGAAAAUGCAGAAAACGUAUCAUAAAACCUGGGGGACAUAAGUAAUUUAGUAUUUUGAUUUAUUGAUGAUUAUAAAAUAAGUAAUCUUGUAUUUUAAUUUAUGUCCCUAGAUUAAUUGUCCUAUCUAUUUAACACCUCCUUUAUAUAAAAAUACUUAAAUUUAUAUAUUUAGUGUGAAAUAUAGAUAAAUGUCAUCCAGAAAUGCUAAAUUUGAGCUGCAGGAUUACCUCAUUCUGCAUCAAUUCCACUGUGUGCAAACUGUUGAAUAGAAUUGAUUGAGUUGACUUAGGUAAAUAAAUACAGAUGUCUACAGCUUUAAUUAUGAUGGAUUUUUAAAUGUUUUCACUGUUGUGUUGUUACUUAUUUCAAUGAAGUGCAUUAUUAUUAUUA